rnacentral:piRNA from 1 species
UACACCAUCACCCCGAAUGGUUGAAGGAGC